CUCAUUAUCUAUAUGUUCAGUAGUCAACUUUUAUUCAUAAAUACGCGGUCCGUCACGUGUGUAUUGUAUUUUUGCCGAAUCCACCAAUAGCAAUUUCCAAUUUACCAUAUUUUUCGAGUCACGGAUAGGUAACUUUCCUGAAACAUUGCUAUUGGUUAGUUGGGCAAAAAUACAAUACGCACGUGACGGCGAAGGACCGGAUUUAAGAAUAAACGUUGACGAACACAGAUAAUGAG